CUCCCGCUUCUGUCCCACCCCAGGCCUCUGGACGGCGAGCUCAGGACUUCAAAGGCCCGAGGAGGCCCCCAGCCCUCCGCCCAGGCCUCGAGCACAGAGCCCCCUUGUUUCCUGUUCCAGGCCCCCACCCCUCUGCACAGCAGUCUGCAGGAAACCCUUAGGGUCGCCAGCCCAGGGGGACCUCCAGCACCACUGCCCGGGACCAGUCCCUGCCUCAACUGGGUCCUCGGCAGCUCCCUGGGGAACUGAGGGAGUUCUCAGGACGGAAUGAUGUCACUGGGAUGAAUGCCAAGUUCCCAUCCAAAGAACCUGCAUCAGCUGUCCAGGCUCAGUCCAGCCCGGGGUGGACCCUGCCCCUCCCUGCUCUCCCUGACUUCCAUGACCGGGUGCAUGGUGUGUUGUGUCCUGGGCGUGACUGAUGCAAAGACCCCCAUCUGACUCUUGCAAAUCUUCCAGCCCUCACCCACCCCUCUAGGUCUGACUGUUUCCGCUGAGGCAGUGCUGAUCUCCUUGCUGGCCUUGAACGCUCUGAGCAAUUGCUGCCCCAGGGCCCUUGCACUGGCUGCUCAUCUGUGGGAAACACCCUCCCUGGCAGCACUUGCCCUCUUGGCCUCCUUCUGGUCACUGCUCAGAGCCCCUCCCUGGUCUGAAACAGCCUUCCUUCACUCAUAGCCCUCACUCAUGCUUCACUGUGUUGCAGGGGUUCGUCUUGACUGGUGGAGGCCCCAGAGAGCAGGGCCAGAAGACACUUGUUUGUAAGCUGAUUCUCACACUAGCUCAGCCCAAACCACGCUGGGCCAAGCCCUCAUCCUCUAUCAGCCACGGCCUGGCUGGGGGUGGCAGGUGAUGGGCGCCCUGGGUCCUGUCGACUGUCGGUGGCCCCUGCAGACCUCCCAGGCAAGACAUGUGAAAGGACACUCCAAAGGAAGCCACGAGCCCCAGGCAGCCUGCUUUCCUCUCUCCUCCUCUCCAGAGCACUUCCUCCCUGCUGGGCCCAGCAUGGGGGCAUUGGUCCAGAGAUCCAGGCCCUGUGUCUAGGC
rnacentral:lncRNA from 1 species